rnacentral:rRNA from 1 species
UACGUAGGGUCCGAGCGUUUGUCCGGAGUUACUGGGCGUAAAGCGCGCGCAGGCGGCGGUAUAAGCAUGGCGUGAAAGCCCCAGGCUCAACCUGGGAGGGUCGUCGUGGACUGUACCGCUUGAGGGCGGUAGGGGCUGGUGGAAUGCCUGGUGUAGUGGUGAAAUGCGUAGAGAUCAGGCGGAACACCCGUGGCGAAGGCGGCCAGCUGGGCCGUCCCUGACGCUGAGGCGCGAAGGCGUGGGGAGCGAACGGGG